AAUUUUAAACGUAAUUUUAUAUUAAUUAAAUAAUGGGCUGUAGUGGAGUUGUUUAUCCAUCCAAAGCAGCCCCAGUUCAGUUUCCUCCUAAUGCCACAAGAUAGGAAGGUCCCUUGGGGCUUCCUGGUAAUGAAUGACCCGAGAGUACCACCACCACAACCUGAGGGAAAAGGAGAGUCGUUUCCCUGACCACGAGAUCUACAGGAUUGAAAUGAAAUGUUUUGAGGUCUUCAAGCUGACUCAGGAUCCUGGAGUAUUUUUAAAAUGACGUGUAUUUGAAAGGGGAACGCUCUCCACAAACGUGGGUUACAGGCGUCUCCUAGCGGCGAAAGCAGCACAGGGCAAGCCAAUGCAUUUUGCUCGGGAGCUCUCGUUC
rnacentral:lncRNA from 1 species